rnacentral:tRNA from 1 species
GUUUUAAUAGUUUAACAAAAACAUUGGUCUUGUAAACCAAAAAUAAGAUUUUUCUUUUAAAACU